AUGCUCCCGGCAGCCCCCGCUGCUCGGUGGGACGUGGGCAACUCGCCCCCCCGGGGAAGGAUGGAGCUGGGGGGAGCGGAGAGGAAGGAUCCCUGCUCCUCUCCUCUCCCUCCGGCAGCAGGAGGGUUGCGCUCCGCUCGCCCCUCCGGUCCCCGCUGUGUUUGGGGGGGGGGGGGUUGGGUUUGGGUGGGUGGGUGGGUGCAGCAGGGGGGCCCCGCAACAGGCAGCAGCUGCGCUCGGAGCCCACCCAGGGCGAGACACGCAGGGGCAUCGCCUCCCACGGCUGGGGGGGGGGGAUCCACAGCUCAGCAGGACCCUGGAUCCAGCCGCCCUGAACAGUUCCUGCAGCCCACUGGGGCCAAAAGUCCAAGCAGGCUGCUGUGGGUGUGUACUCCCACCUACCCUCUGGUUUUGGGAUUUUUUUUUUUUUUUUUUUUUUUUCCCCCUCCUGCUUCAGAGCAACUAAUUUUCAUCCCGUUCCCAGCCAGGCUGGGUAACUCCAAUCAGCUCAACUCCCCCUGGAAGCACCGGGAAGGAAAGCUGGGCUUCAGCUUCUCGCUCCCCUGCUGCAAGGUGGCUGCAGAGUCACGCGUGGAGGAAGGCACUCACCCCUGCCCUCCCCCACGGAAGCUGGACAGCAGCUCAUCAGGGAGGACAGAGCCCCGAGGGGACUUCUCAGCUGCAGGAUGUGGGUAUAAUAAGCUUGUAUUUGUUGAGCCGCAGCAAAAAUCCCCGCGUGAGGGGUCAGCUGUGGAUCGAGGCUCUGCAGGGUGGCGUGGGGGGGGGGGGGGGGGGGUUGGCUCACGGCUCCCUCGGUCCUCAAGUGCAUCAGCCACGCUUCCCUUCACAGGCGUUGCCGUGAUCCCAGCAGCCACGCAGAGAUCCCAAGGUGUCCCCCGAGGGUGGCGAGUCUCUGUGACUUCGGUCAGGAGUGAAUCCCCACGGUGGGAAAAGGCCCACUCGGGAGCAGCGAGAUUUUGCCGUUGCAGCGUCCGGCCUCACCCUCAAAUGCAGCCAAAGGGACAUCAGCUCACCACACAGCUGAAAGCUGCAGGGUUGUUUUUUUUUUUUUUUUUUUUGAAGUUUUUCCUGCUGCCUGCCUAUUUUCUCUAGUUCUCCUUUGGCUACGAGAUUCUCUGCCUCCGCUCUUCACCAGGGGGGCUCAGGCUUUCCAGGUGUCCCCCCCCCAACCGCCUCCUGCACCAAGACGCGCAGCUCUCAUCCGUGUGGGACAGGAGGAACGCGGGACAGACCAUCCCUCCGCAGCAGAUCCCUCCCAGGCGGGGAUGUGGACGAAGGACAGAAGGGAGAGGAAAUUGCAAAGCCACACUUGACUGCCACCAGGGGAGGAAGGUGGGAGACACAAGAAAACCUGAAGGAACUGGAAAACCAGUUCAGUCUCUGCACACAACCAACGUCGCACCUGAAAAUGACCCAGCUCAGCGAUGGACACAGUUCACUUGCAGCAGAACAGCAGCAGUUGUCAGCUUUGUGAGCUUAUCCUCCACCCUCCCUUUUCAGUCACUCAGAGCUAGAAAUGAGCUGUGUAUGAAGCAACCCUGGUUCCAGAGGAAGUGGUAAAUUUAGUCAUUGGGGUUUUUUUAAAGGCAACUUCUGCAUUUUCAACAGAAAUGACAGUCUUAAACCUUGUAAAGCAAUGCUGCGAGCCAGAUAACCCCCUCCAGAGCACAGCCUGCCUUGGCCUCAAGGCAGCAAUACAGUUAAGAGUAACUAGACCACAUGAAUAAAGGAAGUUACGUGCAAAUGCCUCCGCGAGUUACCGAGGCUCAGAACUGAACUUCCAAAGGUACAGUCGUCUGGAGAAAAAAGAUCUGCACAGAAGCCAGACCCCGCUGGUAGCUCUCAUAACUGUGCUUCAUUUCUCCACCAGUCGUCAUAAACACAGAAUUUUAUAGGCUGAGCACUCGGCUCUAACACAACACGCAGGCCUGGGUAGCCUCAUGCACUCAGAAAGUGAUUUGCUUUUCAUUUGUCCUCCUCAAAUCUGGCUCAGCAGAUUUUUGCCUCACUUUCCGCACGCAGCCUUUCACCCCGUAUCCUAGGUACUGCGCUCUGAGAAGCCUUUGUAUGAAUCCUAAAAGGUAACUACAAAUAAUUCUGGUCAUUCACCUUUGCAAAACUAUGAGCCACUAAACAGACAAUAAGAGACAUUCAUGUUAAUUUGCUGCUAUUACUGGAUUAAAUACUAGGCUGACGGAAUUAAGAGUAGUAGGACAAAAUCAUUCACCCUCUAAAAUCAUCGCCUCAAAGGGACAAUUCCCCUGAAGGAAGCCCAGCUGAAUCUUCACAUUGAGAUCAUCAGAAGUCCAGGUCUUCAUCUACUAACUUUAAGAAACCUUCUGUUAAGAUGAACUUUUC